ACCAACUACAAAUGGAAGACGAAGUUACACCAUUUCGAGAAAGAAGAGUGCAUCCACGCUGUGAGCUCAUCAGCAGCAACUACAAACCACGCUGAACAUGGCAGCGACGGGCGACCACCCAGCAAACGAAGCCUGUCGUGGACAAGGCGACCUCCAAGUAUUCAUGCAAACUGAUGACGACAUCCCUCCCGACAACAGGAAGCUGUAUUACACAAUCAUCGUUCUUAUGUACAUCGUCAUGAUGCUCUGUGGACUGGGAGUUGCCAAGGCGGCAUUCAUCGGGGGCUCGCACAAAGUGAUUGAUUAGACUGUGUGACUUCGCGCCGAUGUGAAUAAAUGUCACUAUCAUG